rnacentral:misc_RNA from 1 species
GAUGAAGAACGUAGCGAAAUGCGAUAAGUAAUGUGAAUUGCAGAAUUCAGUGAAUCAUCGAAUCUUUGAACGCACCUUGCGCCCUUUGGCUAUUCCGAAGGGCAUGCCUGUUUGAGUAUCAUGAACACCUCAACCCUCAUGGUUUGCCAUGACGGGCUUGGACUUUGGGGGUCUUGCUGGAUUGUAGUCAGCUCCCCUUAAACAAAUCAGCUUGCCAGUGUUUGGUGGCAUCACAGGUGUGAUAACUAUCUACGCUUGUGGUUUUACAUCAGAUAACCUUCAGUGAUGGAGGUUCACUGGAGCUCAUAAAGGUGUCUCUCCUCUGUGAGGACAGCUCUUUGAAUGUUUGAUCUCAAAUCAGGCAGGACUACCCGCUGAACUUAAGCAUAUCAAUAAGCGGAGGA